GGGUUGUGAGGUUAAGCGACUAAGCGUACACGGUGGAUGCCCUGGCAGUCAGAGGCGAUGAAGGACGUGCUAAUCUGCGAUAAGCGUCGGUAAGGUGAUAUGAACCGUUAUAACCGGCGAUUUCCGAAUGGGGAAACCCAGUGUGAUUCGUCACACUAUCAUUAACUGAAUCCAUAGGUUAAUGAGGCGAACCGGGGGAACUGAAACAUCUAAGUACCCCGAGGAAAAGAAAUCAACCGAGAUUCCCCCAGUAGCGGCGAGCGAACGGGGAGCAGCCCAGAGCCUGAAUCAGUGUGUGUGUUAGUGGAAGCGUCUGGAAAGGCGUGCGAUACAGGGUGACAGCCCCGUACACAAAAAUGCACAUACUGUGAGCUCGAUGAGUAGGGCGGGACACGUGGUAUCCUGUCUGAAUAUGGGGGGACCAUCCUCCAAGGCUAAAUACUCCUGACUGACCGAUAGUGAACCAGUACCGUGAGGGAAAGGCGAAAAGAACCCCGGCGAGGGGAGUGAAAAAGAACCUGAAACCGUGUACGUACAAGCAGUGGGAGCACGCUUAGGCGUGUGACUGCGUACCUUUUGUAUAAUGGGUCAGCGACUUAUAUUCUGUAGCAAGGUUAACCGAAUAGGGGAGCCGAAGGGAAACCGAGUCUUAACUGGGCGUUAAGUUGCAGGGUAUAGACCCGAAACCCGGUGAUCUAGCCAUGGGCAGGUUGAAGGUUGGGUAACACUAACUGGAGGACCGAACCGACUAAUGUUGAAAAAUUAGCGGAUGACUUGUGGCUGGGGGUGAAAGGCCAAUCAAACCGGGAGAUAGCUGGUUCUCCCCGAAAGCUAUUUAGGUAGCGCCUCGUGAAUUCAUCUCCGGGGGUAGAGCACUGUUUCGGCAAGGGGGUCAUCCCGACUUACCAACCCGAUGCAAACUGCGAAUACCGGAGAAUGUUAUCACGGGAGACACACGGCGGGUGCUAACGUCCGUCGUGAAGAGGGAAACAACCCAGACCGCCAGCUAAGGUCCCAAAGUCAUGGUUAAGUGGGAAACGAUGUGGGAAGGCCCAGACAGCCAGGAUGUUGGCUUAGAAGCAGCCAUCAUUUAAAGAAAGCGUAAUAGCUCACUGGUCGAGUCGGCCUGCGC
rnacentral:rRNA from 1 species